AGACAACAAAAUGUAAAUAUUAAUUUUGUCACCUUAGGUCGAUCGGUAUCUCAGAUUCUUAAUUAUUUAAGAAUUUUAGUUUCUAAGUUUUUUCUAGGUCACACCCAUUACUUUUUCCUGGGCCAUUAGCUCAGGUGGUUAGAGCGCACCCCUGAUAAGGGUGAGGUCCCUGGUUCAAGUCCAGGAUGGCCCAUAUCUCUAUGUUGGGGGUAUAGCUCAGUUGGUAGAGCGCCUGCUUUGCAAGCAGGAUGUCAGCGGUUCGAGUCCGCUUACCUCCACUGAAUACCACCUUUUACAUAUGUUUAAAGGAAAUAGUUUCGACUUGUGUCCUACUAGCUCUGAUGGUAUCUAGCCUCCUAUUUUAUUAAAUAAAUAAGAUGCUGGACUCAUUGAAUUAUUAUUCAUUGUUUUCAGAGAACCUUGACAACUGCAUAGAUUAUUUUUGAAGACAAUAAGCAUCUUUAAUGAUGCAGAUUGAUUAUUUGUGCGAAUGCAUUAAAUAACAAUUCUAUUAAGCUGAUGCUUCAAUUAUUGAAGUUAUU
rnacentral:tRNA from 1 species